AUUGAACGCUGGCGGAAUGCUUUACACAUGCAAGUCGAACGGCAGCACGGACUUCGGUCUGGUGGCGAGUGGCGAACGGGUGAGUAAUACAUCGGAACGUGCCCAGUCGUGGGGGAUAACGUAGCGAAAGCUACGCUAAUACCACAUACGAUCUAAGGAUGAAAGCGGGGGAUCGCAAGACCUCGCGCGAUUGGAGCGGCCGAUGGCAGAUUAGGUAGUUGGUAGGGUAAAGGCCUACCAAGCCGACGAUCUGUAGCUGGUCUGAGAGGAUGAUCAGCCAAACUGGGACUGAAACACGGCCCAGACUCCUACGGGAGGCAGCAGUGGGGAAGUUUGGACAAGGGGCGCAAGCCUGAUCCAGCCAUUCCGCGUGCAGGAUGAAGGCCUUCGGGUUGUAAACUGCUUUUGUACAGAACGAAGAGGCUCUGGUUAAUACCCGGGGCUCAUGACGGUACUGUAAGAAUAAGCACCGGCUAACUACGUGCCAGCCGCCGCGGUAA
rnacentral:rRNA from 1 species